UAAAACAUAUAAACCCACAAAAUACAGCGCCUUCAAUUUCUCCGCUCAAAAUCAAUGCCCAAUUCACAUGUACACAUACAUAGAUUGUUAAAGACCUGAUAAUUACACCCCCACACACCUUCAAUCCACAUUUCUCUGACGCCGUUGUAUCGAACCAUCAAUUCUGUGAUGGACCCGCUGACGCUUCUCCGGGAGUACACAAUUCGGAACGCCCUCGACAAGAUCGUGCGGGUCAAUGACGAGUACCGAUUCGGCACCGACUACUCCUUUCCGGCUGCAAUCGAGACUGCAUACCGCUCCAAGCACGGCUCGCGUUAUACGCUUGAAACCCUAAUCUACUUCAUCACCAACUACCACCUGAAGCAUGUAGAUUACAUGCAGAAUGCACGCGCCCUCAGGAUCCCUCCUGUCACGCUUCCCGACCGGAAAGCCCUCCUUGAUUACCUUACCGGAAAAAUUAAGUCUUCUGACUCCAUCCUCCCCCUCGAUUUCCCGAAUAUUCCCCACGUCGCUCCUGCUAAUGUAGAUCGUAAUCUGGAACUUGAUGGGAAUGAAUUUCCUACACUGGAUGGUUUAGUGAAUGAGAAGAAGUCGAUAGAACUAAUUAUGGCCAGGGAGAAGCCUAUCAAAGACAGGCAGGGCAUGUUGGUUUCUAAGGGAUUGUCCCGCAUUGAUUCCAUUCUCAUGAAGAAGUUGCAGACUAUUCAAGUUGGGAUUAGGAUAGUCGCUUCUCUAAAAUCGGCAAAUAGGCUUCCAAAAGCUGAGAGUAGCAGAAAGUCUCGCUUCAUCUUCUCAAACUCUCUUACAAGCCUAAAUUUCAAGAACUCCAUAGCUGCUGAAACUAAUCUGGCAUUUUCCAUUUAAAAGUUUUGUCGAUACUCUAGGAGCCAAGUAUUUGGAUCAAAUUGUACUGCAUUGGCACUCCAUUUUCCUUGUUCUAUAAAACUCAACCGUGAAGUCACAUGCUCAAUUUAGACACAAAAUAAGAUUGGAUUUACGCUGACAUGUUCCUCAGAAUCUAACCAUCUUUGAAGUUUUGUUUUUAACUGAAAUCAAGUCUCCUUUCAAAAUUUUGAGAUGAAAUUCUAUGGGACUCAAAUACAAGCGCUCAAUUUAGACACUCAGAAUAGUUUGGACUAAUUCAAUUAGUACCUAUUAUGUUGUUUUACCCAAAAUCAACUCAUCUUUGAAAUUCUGAUAUGAAACUCAACAUGACUCCAAGACCCACAAAAUAGUUUGGCGUAUUCGAUUUGUACGUACCAUGUCGAUCUCCGAAGUUCAACUUUCUUAGUUGAAACAAAAAGACAUCCUUGAAAAUUAUAAGAGUUGAAGGCGCAUUCUCAAUUCUCCAUAGUUUGAAACAAAAAUUUGACGAAUUCAAUUUGUACCUACAAUAUCGUUUUUCAAAUGCUGAACUUUUAUAUUUAAGCGAACAUAUAUUGAGUAUUUGGUGAAAAUUAAAAUUAAAUUUUUUAGUAAAUUAUAAUAAAAACUUUUUAAAACGUAUAGUUCAAAAGUUGUGGGAUGCACGAAAAAUGUGGUAAAUAGUUAUUAUUUUGCUUUGACCUAGAUUAAAAUCGCACGAAUCAGGCUCACACAGUUACAGCAACCCGCCCUCCGCUGCCUGCAGCCCGCUCUGCUCCCUCCCCAAUCAGUCAAUCACAUUAGGGUGGCCAAUACAUAAAACAUAUAAACCCACAAAAUACAGCGCCUUCAAUUUCUCCGCUCAAAAUCAAUGCCCAAUUCACAUGUACACAUACAUAGAUUGUUAAAGACCUGAUAAUUACACCCCCACACACCUUCAAUCCACAUUUCUCUGACGCCGUUGUAUCGAACCAUCAAUUCUGUGAUGGACCCGCUGACGCUUCUCCGGGAGUACACAAUUCGGAACGUCCUCGACAAGAUCGUGCGGGUUAAUGACGAGUACCGAUUCGGCACCGAUUAC
rnacentral:lncRNA from 1 species